AAAGGAAUUGACGGGGGCCCGCACAAGCGGCGGAGCAUGUGGAUUAAUUCGAUGCAACGCGAAGAACCUUACCAAGGCUUGACAUAUACGAGAAUGCGGCAGAGAUGCCGAGCUCUUUGGACACUCGUAUACAGGUGGUGCAUGGUUGUCGUCAGCUCGUGUCGUGAGAUGUUGGGUUAAGUCCCGCAACGAGCGCAACCCUCGUUCUAUGUUGCCAGCGCGUUAUGGCGGGGACUCAUAGAAGACUGCCGGGGUCAACUCGGAGGAAGGUGGGGAUGACGUCAAAUCAUCAUGCCCCUUAUGUCUUGGGCUUCACACAUGCUACAAUGGCCGGUACAAAGGGCUGCGAAACCGCGAGGUGGAGCGAAUCCCAUAAAACCGGUCUCAGUUCGGAUUGGGGUCUGCAACUCGACCCCAUGAAGUCGGAGUCGCUAGUAAUCGCAGAUCAGCAACGCUGCGGUGAAUACGUUCCCGGGCCUUGUACACACCGCCCGU
rnacentral:rRNA from 1 species